rnacentral:rRNA from 1 species
AAUAUUGGACAAUGGGCGAAAGCCUGAUCCAGCCAUGCCGCGUGUGUGAAGAAGGUCUUCGGAUUGUGAAGCACUUUAAGUUGGGAGGAAGAGUUGUAGGCUAAUACCUUGCACUUUUCACGUUACCAACCGAAUAAGCACCCGCUAACUUCUUGCCAGCAGGCGCGGUAAUACGAAGGGUGCAAUCGUUAAUCGGAAUUACUGGGCGUAAAGCGCGCGUAGGUGGUUCGUUAAGUUGGAAGUGAAAGCCCAGGGCUUAACCUGGGAAUUGCUUUCAAAACUGACGAGCUAGAGUACGGUAGAGGGUAGUGGAAUUUCCUGUGUAGCGGUGAAAUGCGUAGAUAUAGGAAGGAACAUCAGUGGCGAAGGCGACUACCUGGACUGAUACUGACACUGAGGUGCGAAAGCGUGGGGAGCAAACAGG